GACAGAGGGUGCAAACGUUGUUCGGAAUUACUGGGCGUAAAGCGUGUGUAGGCGGCUAUGUAAGUCGGAUGUGAAAGCCCCGGGCUCAACCCGGGAAGUGCACUCGAUACUGCGUAGCUUGAGUCUCGGAGAGGUUGGUGGAAUUCUCGGUGUAGAGGUGAAAUUCGUAGAUAUCGAGAGGAACACCGGUGGCGAAGGCGGCCUGCUGGGCAGUAGCUGACGCUGAUGCGCGACAGCGUGGGGAGCAAACAGG
rnacentral:rRNA from 1 species